rnacentral:tRNA from 1 species
GGGCGGAUACCGAAGUAGUCAAACGGGGCAGACUGUAAAUCUGCUGACCUAGGUCUUCGAUGGUGCAAAUCCAUCUCCGCCCA